UCCCGGCUGACGAGCCAGAGCGAGGCCAUGGCCCUGCAGUCGAUCCGGAACAUGCGCGGGAACUCCCACUGUGUGGACUGCGAGACCCAGAAUCCCAACUGGGCCAGUUUGAACUUGGGCGCCCUCAUGUGCAUCGAGUGCUCAGGGAUCCACCGGAAUCUUGGCACCCACCUUUCCCGAGUCCGAUCUCUGGACCUGGAUGACUGGCCAAUCGAGCUCAUCAAGGUGAUGUCAUCCAUCGGGAACGAGCUAGCCAACAGCGUCUGGGAAGAGAGCAGCCAGGGGCGGACAAAACCCUCGGUAGACUCCACAAGGUAAGAACUCUGGAAGAUGCCUGGCUCCCGACACGUUUGCCAACAGUUAGGCAGCUGGAAGUGAUCAUAAUGACAGCCACAGUUGGGAAGGCCCUGAUAACCUGUAGGACUUCAGGAAUUCCGAUUCAUCCGGCAUAGGAAUGUCUGUGUUUAAAAUUGGUCUUAAGCAGACAUGGAUAAUUCACACUCCUUAAUUUUUUAUGUUUGUUUUUAGGCCUUGGGGAUUUCUCUCCCCCUCUUAGAAAUGUAUUAAGCUUCUAACCUUAUGAAUAUAUUACUUUAAUUAAUACAUUUCUAAUAGGCGUAAGCUGUGCCGUUAACACUAAUUAUGAAUUUUUGAUCCUUUAAUUUUGUUAUUCUUAUAGCUUUGAUAAGCAUCUGCUCUGUCGAUCCCCCCCACCAUCACACAAAAGUUAUUUUUAUGGUAACAAAAUCUAUUUUAUUUUCUAAAAUAUAUCUCUAACACAUUUAGUCAACCAAGUUCAGCAUAAUGUAUGGUGUAACUCCUCAUUAAUGUUAAUUGUUAUCCAGUGUAAAAAACGCAUUU
rnacentral:sRNA from 1 species